rnacentral:rRNA from 1 species
GACGAACGCUGGCGGCGUGCCUAAUACAUGCAAGUCGAACGAACGGAUAAAGAGCUUGCCCUUUUGAAGUUAGUGGCGGACGGUGAGUAACACGUGGGUAACCUGCCUCACAGCUGGGGAUAACAUCGAGAAAUCGAUGCUAAUACCGAAUGUGCUGAACAUCAUAAGAUGUUCAAGUGAAAGACGGUUUCGGCUGUCACUGUGAGAUGGACCCGCGCUGGAUUAGCUAGUUGGUAAGGUAAUGGCUUACCAAGGCGACGAUCCAUAGCCGACUUGAGAGGGUGAUCGGCCACAUUGGGACUGAGACACGGCCCAAACUCCUACGGGAGACAGCAGUAGGGAAUCUUCGGCAAUGGACGAAAGUCUGACCGAGCAACGCCGCGUGAGCGAAGAAGGCCU